UGAACAUGCUUCUAGCAUGAUGUGUUAGCCCUUCACCCUCCUUCAAAACGUCGGCACCAUCGGCCACACAAUUACUUAUCCAUCAAGGGCUGGAUAUUAUCUUCUGCUCCGCGCAAGACCGCUUCUUCGGCAAGGACAUGCAGGGUUAGGUUUUCCCGCUUUAUGUGACAACACUCAUAGGUACCCCCCCCACACGGUCUUAGAGGAAGGAAGGCGGAGAGAUCACAGUGAUGGUGGUGGCCGCGUCGCUUGGAGGUCAAGAUGAUGAAUUACUAUUUCCUCAUGCGUGAGGGAUGAAGGCAGAGAUAAAGCACGAAGUAUAUGCUCGAGCAUUUUCGCUAAGUGUACGGUGCGAUAUUCUUGCAUUCGAAGCAGGUCUUGAUCGGUGGGCGGGUGCUUUGAUCGGCGGAUAUGGAGAGUAUUAUUGUUCUUGAACAAAUAUUUAAUACAUUUGUAUCUUUUGAAGUUAAUUCGCAUGCAUAUCUUCUGAAGUUUAUAUUGGAUAUUGUAUAUACUAGCAACAUUUAAGAUUUCAUAUCUCCUUGGAUUUGAUAGUGUCAUGCAUGAAUAAUUUAUUGUUCAUCAUAUUUCGAGAGGAUUUAAACAUAACCUUUAGGCUUUGUUUGGAUGUAGACAUUGAGAAGCUUGGCAUUGAAUUGGCUCCAAUGCCAAUUUCAUGGGA